GGGGGCUGGCGGUGGGCGG
rnacentral:miRNA from 1 species